rnacentral:rRNA from 1 species
AGAGUUUGAUCAUGGCUCAGGAUGAACGCUGGCGGCGUGCUUAACACAUGCAAGUCGAGCGAGAAGAUUUUGACAGAACCUUCGGGUGAUGGAUAAAUUGGAAAGCGGCGGACGGGUGAGUAACGCGUGGGCAACCUGCCCCAUACAGAGGGAUAGCCACUGGAAACGGUGAUUAAUACCUCAUAAGACCACAGAAGCACAUGCUUCAGAGGUAAAAACUCCGGUGGUAUGGGAUGGGCCCGCGUCUGAUUAGCUAGUUGGUAAGGUAACGGCUUACCAAGGCGACGAUCAGUAGCCGACCUGAGAGGGUGAUCGGCCACACUGGAACUGAGACACGGUCCAGACUCCUACGGGAGGCAGCAGUGGGGAAUAUUGCACGAUGAGGGAAACCUUGAUGCAGCCAUGCCGCGUGUGUGAAGAAGGCCCGAGGGUUGUAAAGCACUUUCAAUUGGGAGGAAGGUAGUAUCGCUAAUAUCGAUAUUGCUUGACGUUACCUUUAGAAGAAGCACCGGCUAACUCUGUGCCAGCAGCCGCGGUAAUACAGAGGGUGCAAGCGUUAUUCGGAAUUACUGGGCGUAAAGCGCGCGUAGGCGGACUGUUAAGUCGGUUGUGAAAGCCCUGGGCUCAACCUAGGAAUUGCAUCCGAUACUGGCAAUCUAGAGUUUAGGAGAGGGAAGUGGAAUUCCUGGUGUAGCAGUGA